rnacentral:rRNA from 1 species
AACGUUGGCGGUGUGCCUAAUACAUGCAAGUCGAACGGAGUGUACGAGAUAGCAAUAUUUUGUAUUACUUAGUGGCGAACGGGUGAGUAACGCGUUGGUGAUCUGCCCCGAAGUGGGGAAUAACAAUUCGAAAGAAUUGCUAAUACCUCAUGUUAUCUUAGAGAUUAGAUGCUCUUUGAUCAAAGGAUUUAUUCGCUUCGGGAGGAGCCUGCGUCCCAUCAGCUAGUUGGUAAGGUAAUGGCUUACCAAGGCUAUGACGGGUAGGGGACCUGAGAGGGUGGCCCCCCCACAAUGGAACUGAAACACGGUCCAUACACCUACGGGUGGCAGCAGUAGGGAAUAUUAGUAAUGGGCGAAAGCCUGAACUAGCAACACCGCGUGUGCGAUGAAGGCCUUCGGGUUGUUAAAGCACUUUUUCGAGAAGGAAGAGGAAGGACGGUACUCUCGGGAAUAAGUCUUCGGCUAACUACGUGCCAGCAGCCGCGGUAAAACGUAGGAGGCAAACGUUAUCCGGAUUUACUGGGCGUAAAGCGCGUGUAGGUGGUUCGGUAAGUAGGGCGUGAAAGCUCCUGGCUCAACUAGGAGAGGUCGUUCUAAACUGCCAGACUUGAGGAUGGUAGAGGGAGGUGGAAUUCCGGGUGUAGUAGUGAAAUGCGCAGAUAUUCGGAGGAACACCAGUGGCGAAAGCGGCCUCCUGGACCACACCUGACACUCAGACGCGAAAGCUAGGGUAGCAAACGGGAUUAGAGACCCCGGUAGUCCUAGCCGUAAACGAUGUAGACUUGACGUUGGUGGUUUAAUAUCCAUCAGUGUCGUAGCUAACGCGAUAAGU